AUACUACUCCCUCCGUUCGGAAAUACUUAUCAGAGAAAUGGAUGUAUCUAAAUGUAUUUUAAUUCUAGAUACAUCUAUUUUUAUCCAUUUCUCCGACAAGUAUUUUCAGACGGAGGGAGUAUUAA
rnacentral:pre_miRNA from 1 species